GUUAAGACAAUUUUUGUUUUUGUUUUUUUUUUACAAACUUAGUGUCUGUGAAAGUAAUACAAAGAUCAGCUGGUAAAGAGCUCCUGACUCAAGCGGUUGGGCCCAAAAACAGUUUAAAAAUGCCAAGCCCCUUCCCCCAGCAUUUCUCUUCCAACAUCCAACUCCAUUUGGGUACCAGCCCUGGCAGCCCAGCCCAUGAGCGGUCUCUCCAAAGCAGUGGUGAAAAUCAUGGUUGGUAGAUUCCUACACAUCACCAAAAAGAGGAAGGGCCAUUUGAGGACACAGUGAGAAGCUAGUCACCCGCAAGCCAAGGAGAGAGGCCUCCGGAGUAACCAAAUCUGCUGACAGCUUGAUCUUGGACUUCCAGCCUCCAGAACAACACAAAAUAAAUUUCUGUGGUUUAAGCUACACAGAAAUGAGAAUGCUGUAUGCAACCAGAGAGGCUGUUUCCACAUCUGGCUGCCAAUUAAUUGCUUGGUACUUGCCCUCAGCUGUUCAUUAUCCUUCUGUAGGCAUCAGUGACACUUAGAAAAGCCAUCCAAUCUCAUUGCUCUA